rnacentral:tRNA from 1 species
GGGGGGAUAGCUCAGAUGGGAGAGCGCGGCGUUCGCAACGCCAAGGUCGGGAGUUCGACCAUCCUUCCUCCACC